rnacentral:lncRNA from 1 species
AUGCCCUUUCAGCAAGUUGGUACAGAUAAGAAGUUUCAUUUGCCUUUCCUGUGAACUGAUGAAACCAAGUGCAGUGAAACUCACUUCUAAGACUUCUGAACAGCCACGGUCUGAUGUGUUUGGUACUGACCCCAGUGAUGGAUUCGAUUUCAGGUGCAUAUUUGUCGGGGAACAUCACUGAGAAGACAUGACCUCCAGGCGACCUGUG